rnacentral:rRNA from 1 species
UACGUAGGGGGCAAGCGUUGUCCGGAAUCACUGGGCGUAAAGCGCGCGCAGGCGGCGAUCUACGUCUGGGGUGAAAGCCCGGAGCUCAACUCCGGGACUGCCUUGGAUACGGGAUCGCUUGAGGAUUGGAGAGGCAAGGGGAAUUCCACGUGUAGCGGUGAAAUGCGUAGAUAUGUGGAGGAACACCUGUGGCGAAGGCGCCUUGCGUGGGACGGUACUGACGCUGAGACGCGAAAGCGUGGGGAGCGAACAGG